AGAUUGAACGCUGGCGGCAUGCCUUACACAUGCAAGUCGAACGGUAACAGGCCGCAAGGUGCUGAUGAGUGGCGAACGGGUGAGUAAUGCAUCGGAACGUGCCCAGUCGUGGGGGAUAACGCAGCGAAAGCUGUGCUAAUACCGCAUACGAUCUAUGGAUGAAAGCGGGGGACCGAAAGGCCUCGCGCGAUUGGAGCGGCCGAUGUCAGAUUAGCUAGUUGGUGGGGUAAAGGCCCACCAAGGCGACGAUCUGUAGCUGGUCUGAGAGGACGACCAGCCACACUGGAACUGAGACACGGUCCAGACUCCUACGGGAGGCAGCAGUGGGGAAUUUUGGACAAUGGGCGCAAGCCUGAUCCAGCAAUGCCGCGUGCAGGAAGAAGGCCUUCGGUUGUAAACUGUCUUUUGUAACGGAACGAAACGGUACGUGGUUAAGUACCGUCGGCGUAAGUAGACGGUACCGUAAGAAGUAAGACACCGGACUAACUACGUAGCCAGCAGACCG
rnacentral:rRNA from 1 species